rnacentral:rRNA from 1 species
GGGAGAGGUUAGUCGUAAGGCGAAGCUUUGAACUUAAGCCCCAGUAAACGGCGGCCGUAACUAUAACGGUCCUAAGGUAGCGAAAUUCCUUGUCGGGUAAGUUCCGACCCGCACGAAAGGCGUAAUGAUUUGGGCACUGUCUCAACAAUGCACCCGGUGAAAUUGAAAUACCAGUGAAGAUGCUGGUUACCUGCGCCAGGACGGAAAGACCCCAUGGAGCUUUACUCCAGCUUGAUACUGGGAUUCGAUAUUGCAUGUACAGGAUAGGUGGGAGACUGAGAACUGAUGACGCCAGUUGUCAGGGAGUCACUGUUGGGAUACCACCCUUGUAGUAUUGGAUUUCUAACCAGCAGCCGUGAUCCGGCUGGGGGACAAUGUCAGGUGGGGAGUUUGACUGGGGCGGUCGCCUCCGAAAGGGUAUCGGAGGCGCUCAAAGGUUCCCUCAGAAUGGUUGGAAACCAUUCGAAGAGUGCAAAGGCAGAAGGGAGCUUGACUGCGACACCGACGGGUGGAGCAGGUACGAAAGUAGGACUUAGUGAUCCGGUGGUAUAAAGUGGGAUUGCCAUCGCUCAACGGAUAAAAGCUACCCUGGGGAUAACAGGCUUAUCACUCCCAAGAGUUCACAUCGACGGAGUGGUUUGGCACCUCGAUGUCGGCUCAUCGCAUCCUGGGGCUGAAGUAGGUCCCAAGGGUUGGGCUGUUCGCCCAUUAAAGCGGUACGCGAGCUGGGUUCAGAACGUCGUGAGACAGUUCGGUCCCUAUCCGGCGUGGGCGUAGGAUAUUUGAGAGGAGCUGCCCUUAGUACGAGAGGACCGGGGUGGACUGGCCGCUGGUGGAUCUGUUGUAUUACCAAAUGCAUGGCAGAGUAGCCAAGCCGGGACGGGAUAAACGCUGAAGGCAUCUAAGCGUGAAGCCCCCCUCAAGAUGAGAUAUCCCAUAACGUCAAGUUAGUAAGACCCCUUGAAGACGACGAGGUAGAUAGGGCAGAGGUGGAAGUGUGGUAACACAUGGAGCUGACUGUUACUAAUAGGUCGAGGGCAUAACCAAG